rnacentral:rRNA from 1 species
GCCUACGGCCAUACCACCCUGAAAGCGCCCGAUCUCGUCUGAUCUCGGAAGCCAGGCUGGGACGGGCUCGGUUAGUACCUGGAUGGGAGACCGCCUGGGGAUGCCAGGUGUUGUAUGCU